CCUGGAAAUACAGUACCAGUUCAUCAGUACAUGGAAUAACAAGGUUACUGCCGUGGGAAUCUAAUGCAAUGUAAUCUUUGUUCUCGCCGUGAUGUUUCGCAAGCAGUAAUUAUGCUGUACGUAAUAAGGCGGGUUGAUAGUCAAUGUAUAAUAUUGAAGCAACACAAUUCGCCAGAGGCACAUACACAUCUAUUAACUACAUAUAAUAUGAAGGAUAAAGCUAUAAUCAUAAUAAUAUAAUGAUCUCGGUGAAAGUCGCCCGUCACUAUUAAUUCUAGUAGUAGUUUCACUUCUACGUUUAUAUAUUAUGGUGUAGUCGUUUUGGCAGUGUGUAUUAAUGCAGCAGACAGUUCGUCUGGAGUUAGACAUUUGAUCUAUACUUCAUAGAUAAUACGAGCGAGACUCUCCUAGCGACCAUAGACCAACGACUCUCCGAGUCUUUAGUCUAUUUGCUGUACGUUAUGUUGUUAAUAUUCUUAUGAUUAUUAAAUAACAUGAACCGAUAUUAACUUUCAUAUUUACUGUAUAAUGAACUCUAUUCUAUAUAACAAUAGCUUGUAUCCGUGUUUGUUUGUGAAUGUCACGCCGUUAUCCCGUGCCUGUAAAGCUGAGAGCACACUCGCAGCUAUCACGUCUCUCUCCGUCACACUCGACCACGCUCCGAUCACGCACUCAAAGCGUGCCUCAAUAUGGAACCAGUCGACCGACCGGUCGUCGGAUCUUUGUUAUGAUUUCGUCGAGCUCGAUCGGUCGACGGACAGGUCGGGAGACUGGCGAUUAUAAUAAACAUGGCUGCCAAAACUGUUUGCUACGAACGCGUUCUAUUAGUGAGGUUGUUUAGUUCCACAACAUUGUUAAAAGCAAUAACAGAAUUAUAAUACUAAUGUGAUAGGAAUACAUAAUAAGCGAUGUUGAUUGUUGGUGUGUGUAAACAAACAGCACCAUUACAAGUUAUCGCCUUGAGUUUCAUAUAAACACUAUUAUUUAAACACCAGCCACAUAACAAAUAUAGUUGCAGGACAGUAGUUUGUAUCAUUGUCUUUAGAUAAAGCGCUAAAGAGGUCACUUAUCUGCCCUCUUGAAAGGUGAAUGCACUUUCAAAAUGUAUAUAUGAGUCCCACUUUCUCCAUAUACCAAAAUAGCUCCCAGCCCAGAUGUUUCAAUACAAAAAUUAUGUCACACAACAGCUAAAUUCAACCAAAAAUAUAGUCCUAUAUGUAAAUUAUUACACGAAUAUUUUAGUUGCAAAAAAAACCCUUGUUUACCAAAAAUGUAAAUUCCAAAAUGACAUCUGACUUAACAUGUUGACAUUUAUAGUUAGACUUAGGUAUAUUGUAAUGAACAAUCUCGAGAGACAUAUUUACAUAGAAUUUGCGAGAUACUUAUUAUUUAUAUAUAGGAGAAUUAAAUUAAUAUGAAUUAUAUGAGUAAAUAACGAUGAGGUAUGAUUUGCAUUAUGCAUUAUGAGCAUGUUUAUAAAACAUUAUAUACAUCAUUAUAGCUACUUACUUCCAAGUGGGGAAUGUUAUUAUAUUCAAAAUAUUAGUGAUAUCAUAAUUAUGUUUCCAGCGAUAAGUUAACGAACCUUAACUUUUGAAUGAGUUUCAAUUGACUUGAUAACCUCUUUAAUGUCAUCAUUAAAGGUUUAUAUCAUUGUAUAAACAUUAAUAUACGAACAUGUAAUUUUAUAAUAAAUUAUAAUCAGUAACAAAAAAAAGUAGAAGGAAAUACGCGUAGUAACAACCCAGCCAUUUAAAUUUUGGCGUACUUAUAUAUAAGAUUCCUUAUAUAAAGUAUGUUGAUAAUAUCGAUAAUAAUCAAUUUACAACAAAUCAUGUCCUUACUACGUUUCUAAAUCACCUCCUUUGUUGUAAACACGUCGAUAAGGCCCCCACUGGUCACUGCGUUGUAUCAUAACAAUAUAUUUAUAUUUUUCGACCUUCGAUUACAUACAUAAUCGAUUAUUUACACUUUAGUAAUAAAUAACUAUUGUUUGUAUAUGUGAUAUAAAUUUAAAAUAUUUAUUUUAAGAAGACUGUCAGUUAUUUAUAAUGAUCUACCCGUAGGAAACGAUCUGAGUAAUAGAUACUUAGAUAAUUUUGUAACAUCAAUUGUAUCUAUUAAAUAUAUAUUCUUAAAAUUAUGUUCACCUCGUUCAUCCUCAACUCAUCACAGUUUAUUAGUAUAACCUCAUAUUAAAAAUAUUGGAUUAACAAAACACAAACAUCGUUAUCUUAAAACAAUGAAUCAUUAUACAUAGUACACUUGUAUGUUAUAUAUAAACUAUAUAAUUUUAACAGCUAUGUUAAGAAACUAAUUUAGUUGAAUGUAUUGUCCUUGAAAGUGUUUUAUAUUCAAAGAACGCACAUGGCGCCGGUUUCGCGCGCACCGCGGCCAUCUUGUUCAAGCAUUUUGAAUUAUUUUCGGAUUAAGAUAUUAUUUGAGGACGCGUGUUUAGUAUAAAUUGGCGAAUUUAGGUUAAGAGAUAAAAGCAUACAUAAUAUAUUGAUAGGAAUAAUAAAUACAAAACAAAAAAAAACAGGACUUUAGAUACAAGUCUUUGAACACUCACAUAAAGGAAUAAAGCCGAAGACUUACAGUAUUAUGCCAAGUUAUGUAUAAGUCUAAAUUUAGACUUUCAUAUACAACCUCUAUAAUUUUGAUUAUUUAUUAACCCAUUUAUUAAUGUGUUUCUUUAUGUGUUAUUUGACCUAUCAGAUUAAACUCUGAUUAUAUGUGAUUGUAACAAUAAUAGGUAUGUUCUCAAUAUUAUUGCGUACUGCGAUCGAUGGGGGUCUAAUAAAUAUAGUGAUACAUUUAACUUACUGUCACAAAAUACUUUUUUGAAACUCCUAAAACAUUGUAAAAUUAUAUAGCAGUGUGUAAUAUCUAUACAUUCGUAUAAUGAAAUUUAAAAAUAAAUUUGUUUAGUACAGUGAUAA